GAGCCAUUCAGCCAUGGCCCCAGAGCGCCCGGCUAAGGCUGCUGGACAUCAGAACUGAGCCAGGCCCAUCGUUCAUCAGAACCUGACUUCAGUGGCAAAAUUUCUCUUUUUUUAACCUACCUUUAGCUGUUCAGUCUUGUUUUUGGCAGACUGUGCACACAGGUCUAUUUUGUCUGAACCUUGUGAUGCUGAACUCCUCCUUCUGGCCCUGAACAAGAUCUAUCUGUAUUCAGUGCACUUCAACAAAAAUAAAAUAAAGGGCUCCGAUGCCUGUGGCGCAGUGUUCUAGGGUGAACCUCAGGAAGGGCGCUAUAGAUUAGAUCGAGUCUCCUCUUUUUUUAUGCACAAGGCAAAGUAAAAAUUCCCCCUUGCCCCUCUGGCUCCCCCUCCCUCUCCACGGGAGAGGCUGAACUGAUUUUAACAGGACUGGCUUCCCUUCAGUGCCCGAGGUUGGAUGGUGUUUGCAAGCUUAUGUUCUUGAUACAGCACCUAUGUAGGAUUUAUGGAGACUUGGUGGAAAAUUGCAGAUGUUUAGUUUUGUGGCCCACAUGAUUAAAUCAGACCUAUAGGGCUAAGGGAAACAGAUUCUGGUCGGUGAUAUAAUUGAAUUUUUAUUAUUGUUUCACAAGGUAAAUUUUACCCUUUGGAAUUAGAUGAAAGAGACACUGUAAUGUGAUACAUUAAUCAUACAUACGGUCUAAAUAUUAGGCAAAACCAGCCAAGGCUUUAGCUUGUGAAAGACCAUUUCACUGGGCCUGAGCUAUUUUGAAAAAAAAAUAAAUAGAAUUCUUUAACAAUAACUGAUCCCAGCCCCUUGGUUCAAGUUACAAUCUCCCUUCAAUUUACACAGAAGAGUACAAAUGUGAGGACUUUGUUCCCACAGAAAAACAGAUGACCAAGCUUUGCGAGGCACUCUCUUCAGAUGUCUGAAUAUGAGUCAAAAGGAAGUGCAAUUAAUCUUCUUGGAAGAGAAGGAAUAUCAGGUGGUUCAAAGGUUUCAUGUUUCACCCAUGAGGGGACACCAUACAGUAUGUGAGUGGACCAGCGUUCUAAGACAGUUGUGUGGUUCAUUACUGGAGGGUGACGCUGGGUACUUCUGUUGGGAGUGUUUGUUGAAUCAUCUGCUUGCUGAUGUUGGAGGCCACAUUUUCAGUAUAAAAAUAAAAUGAGUAACUAUCAAAAAUCAUUUUGCAUCUCUCCCCAGAUUUAGAUAUAUAAAUUGAAUAAAAAAUGUGCACAUUGAAAUAUGUAUAAAUCACAAAUUAAAUGAAUUAUUUUCCUCAUUUAAACUCUGUGGAUGUGAGGCGGCAUGCAGAGAUCAUUAUAGCAAUGAUAGCAAUAUCUAUGUAUUUGCAUGUUAAAGGAAUUCAGCAUUGCAUUUGUGCCGUUUAAGAUAAUGUGACAGUUGGGAGCACUGUGGCAAGCUAUUCUGACACGGAAAUGUGUGCGGCAGCAUAGCAGCUCAUAAAUGCAAUGUCCCUUCAUUGUGCUGUAUAGCAGACUGCAGGCUAUUACUAAUUGAAGGAUGCAGCCCUAUUGUAAUGUAAAUUGUCUUCAUGUUGCGGUUAACGGUAUAAUCAUUUUUACUGUCCAACAAGAUAAGGAUUGAAGAUGCCCAAGAAAGGGAAAAAAAAGAUGUCCUGUCUGCUGGGGAAGGAAUGUUAGAAAUAGAGAAGGAGCCCCAAGAACCUGUCAUCUGCGUUUUAUCACACAUAUCAAAGUCAAAGGCCUUUCCCAGGAAUCCCUCCGCUGUGCUGUGGAGUUACUGGAACCCUUGAAAGGUGAGGGUGUCAGAAAGCCGCUGAGAGAGCAGCAGCCCAGUGGUGCCCAUGACUCACUGCAUCACAGCACCGAUGCUGAUGGGUUAUCCUGUUGUAGCAAGAGCGACUGGCAGUUAACGUCAAAUUAUUAAAUUAGCUACACCGGAUUAUUCCGCAGUUCCACGUGCUUGUGUAGCUGUUGAUGUACGGGGCAAAGAUGAACAACGGUCGACAAAAUAAUGAUGUUUAAAACUUUUCACGCUUACAAAAUAUUGAGAAUAAAUAAUGCAAAACAAUCUAUUGCAUUUUGCAAAUAUAAAAUAGUUGCUUUUCAUUCAUUAACAAAACUGUAUACAACAACUAAACACUUGCUAUACUGUUCAUUGCAUACUGUCAUGACCACAAUAGUGCAUGUAUCUGAACAUCAUCAUUAGCUGGGAUGCACUGCUUGGAUUUGUGUAAUUGUAUUUUCCAGUAGCAGGAAGAAAGCAAACGAAAAGGGUGUGAAGAACAGGAAGCCUUUCACCCAUUGAGCCCUGCAAACAAAAGACAGGUCAAUACAGUGUCCUGCAAACAAAACUGAAUCACCAGAAAUGCUGAGACAAUGACAGUACUGAAAUGCCUCCAUCACUGUAAAACUAACACUAGCGCAGUUUUAUAUUUCCCAGAAGGUGCCGGACCUCCCAAAGAUGGAAAUUACAGGACGGUGAAGCUGACUGCCUCUUCCGCGUGUUUUCUCUGAGUGAGUAAGGACCCGCAGUUUGAAUCUGCUUUAUGAAAGCAUAAGGGUCUCAUUUCCUUUCUUAAAUCUACUAAAGAAUCAGACCUCUGUUUGAGCAUUAAAGAAAGUGCAGCCAGAGAGACGUUGUCAACCGAAUGUGUAUGUCUGUGGAUACCAGGCAGUGUGUAUGGCUGCUUCUGCUCUGCAAACAAGACCUCACUUUCCUUUUGCACAGACAGCACACCUCCGAGCGUCUUGCAUGUUUGCAGACCCAGAGAGCUGGGCAGCUCGAUUCCGAUAGACAGCACAAGGAGCUGGAGCGGCACGCUGCAUUCCAACACCGGAAGCACGGCACUCUGGAGGCAGGUUGGUCUUCUCCCUCUAAUCUGAUACAGGAGAGCGAUGGGAAGAAGGAUCAGCUCCAGUCCUCGGAUGAUUUAUGUUUCGGGACAUGUUAAUAAAAAUAUCAAAACAAUCAGGAUUCUGCGGGAAGAGAUACUGCCCUGUUCCGUACAUCAUAUAAGACAGUCCUGACCAAUGUUUCACCUCUUGAGAGGCACUCUAACAUUUCCUGUUCUCGUCACUAAUCCAGCCUGAGCGCCAUGCUUCUGGAUGGAACUACCCUGGCCCUGGAGCUGCAAAGCAAGGAGAGAAUGCAAAACCAGAGGGCAGAAAGCAAUCAGCGCACUUGCCCUCACCAUGGAAAAUUACCCAGGCCGAUUAUCUGAUCGUUGUGCUGCUGCUGAAUCCAGCACCCAGUAAUGUGUAAGUUUAGUAGCAGCGCAGACUGCAGUCCUGCACUCCACCCCACAAGCUCAAAUGGGACCGAGCAACAGCCAUUAGGACAUCAGGAGGGUGUGGGGAUUUUCAGGACAGUCUUCUUUCUAGAGCGCAUCAGAGAACUGGGACUGUUGUUUCCUAAAGCACCCUGGAUUUCACUGUAGUCGCAACUCCUCCAAAACAUCAGCAGGAAAUGAGAAACAAAUAAUAAGAACCAUAACUAAUAAUGUUGCUGGUUUAAAAAGACAAUGCCCUCAGUGGAAUAAGGACAUUUCAUAUCGGCCCAUCCUUUAGUGGAUCGAGAGAGCACUAAUAUCUCACGCACUUUUCUGCUAAGCAACCUGAUCAUGGUCAUCAAUCAAUGUGACUGGACCGUGACAGCAGGGAGAGUUUCUAUGAAGGAAUCAGUAGAGCUGUGGUGCUCUGUUGUAACUUCAUCAUGUCCUAAAUAAAGUGCAAUAAUUAAGGCAAAAGACUAGAUUUUCCACACUCCAAGAGAAAUGAAUAACCUCAACCAGUGUUGAUCAUGUCAGCUCUUCACAGUGGUGCGCAUAUUGAAGCAUUACACUUUCUCAUGUAUUGUUCUGAAAGGUGUUAAUGAAAUGGCAAGAGAAGACGA